CCAGACUCCUACGGGAGGCAGCAGUGGGGAAUAUUGGACAAUGGGGGGAACCCUGAUCCAGCGACGCCGCGUGAGUGAAGAAGUAUUUCGGUAUGUAAAGCUCUAUCAGCAGGGAAGAAGAAAUGACGGUACCUGACUAAGAAGCCCCGGCUAACUACGUGCCAGCAGCCGCGGUAAUACGUAGGGGGCAAGCGUUAUCCGGAUUUACUGGGUGUAAAGGGAGCGUAGACGGUGCAGCAAGUCUGGAGUGAAAGGCAGGGGCCCAACCCCGGAACUGCUCUGGAAACUGUGAAGCUGGAGUGCAGGAGAGGUAAGCGGAAUUCCUGGUGUAGCGGUGAAAUGCGUAGAUAUCAGGAGGAACACCGGCGGCGAAGGCGGCUUACUGGACUGUAACUGACGUUGAGGCUCGAAGGCGUGGGGAGCAAACAGGAUUAGAUACCCCGGUAAC
rnacentral:rRNA from 1 species